rnacentral:misc_RNA from 1 species
GCAAAUCAGAUAAUAUCCUUCGUCGGUAUAAAAAUCGAAAAUGGAAGGCCAAGCGACAAUGCGGACGCUUUUAGCCGCCGGUGGAACCUAAGCUUAAGAUUCUUCUCCUCCAUUAAAUUGUACACGAAUAUCAGAAUAUUAAAUAAGAGAAUCUCGAUUCUCAAUCUGCCCCCUCAAAUUCCUCGAAUUUUCUCGACUCUCUGAAAAGUUGUCGGUCCGGUGGCGUUUCGCGGAAGCGAAGUUUCUCCGGAUCAAAUUCCAAUUAUCAUGUAAAAACAUUUUCCAUACUCUCUCUUCUCUGUUUUUAUUCUUUUUUGGAACUUUUUAGUUUCUCCCAGAUUUUGAAGCCGAAGAGUUCCCAAAGAAAGACAUGUUGUGUAGGAUGGUACUGCUGCCCCGGAAGAAGAAGACCGGUACGGUGCCGGUUUACUUGAAUGUCUAUGAUUUGACUCCCAUUAAUGGCUAUGCUUACUGGCUUGGCCUCGGGAUUUACCAUUCUGGUGUGCAAGUUCAUGGUGUGGAAUAUGGUUUUGGUGCACACGACCACCCAAGCACAGGUAUCUUUGAGGUUGAACCAAGGCAAUGCCCUGGUUUCACUUUCAGAAA